AUUCAACUUUGAUCGAAUUUACUGUUGCGAUAUUAAACUUUCGUGAUGAUCUAUUACCUCCUAGACUAUUUAAUACCGUAUCUUCUUCUUUAUUCCUAAUUCUCUCUACAAAAAUGUUGUUGCAUGUUGUUUGCCCCAAAUUGGCAUGUGCAUGUGGAUUGUAACACCAAGAUUCAGGCUAAUUGUGAUGAAUAUUUUAUUAUUAUUAUUAUUCAUAAUCACAGUCUGGUGUAUUUGUUAGUUUUUGAAUAUAAUUUCUUUCAAGAAUUUUUACAUACGUGUUAGUAAUUGUACUUGAUUUGCAUAUGUAUCACAUCUCUUUGAUGAAUUUGGUCUUUGUUUUCAACUAAUUACUGAAGAACUAAACCAUUUUAUGGAAGAUUUUCAGCUAUCAAAGAUCAAUGAAAUUUACAAGUGGAUUGUGCACCCAAGGUGUUUGAUGUUAUGCAUGAACCAUCAUGUUUUGACUAUUCCGUGAUUUUUGUUCUUUUUGGGUUGCAGUAGCCAAAAUCUCUAGGAGAGAAUGAGCAAAGACUCUUCUUGACUUUCGUUCACCAUGCUAGCAAUUAUCAUCUUCUACACGCUAAAGAUACAAGUUUCAAGAUGAGAUAUUGCAGCCAUGUUUAAGCAAGUAAAUCAGUAGUAUUUCACUUCUAAAAGAUAAUCCAGUUAUAGGUAUAAUGACUUUGACAUCAGCUUGGCCUUGGAUGAUAAAACUCCUCCAUUACAUGGAUCUUCAUAUGAGACAUCUAACUGCCACCUAAGUCACUUGAGUUGUGGGUAUACGAGUGAAUAGUUGAAGAGGUUCCUACAAAAAUUAGAGAAAAUCCAAGAAGAAGGCCUUUGUGAAGUAUUCCAAUAAAUAUGAGACUGAUGAAGGGCUUAACAACAUGAUCAAGACAACAAGAGAUCACUUACCAGACAUUUAGGUUUGGCGCUGAAUAUUUUGAUUGAGAAAUAGUGUUGAGUACUAUUGGUCUAUGUCAGAGUGGAGAUAAUGUACAUAGCCUCUAUUUAAACUUCCAUAUGAAUUAGUGUUUAUUUUAUUUAUAUUGAUGUAAGACUGGAAGAGGAUCAAUAUUAUCUAAAGGUACAUGGACUUCUCUUUCACAUGUACAUAAACA